rnacentral:rRNA from 1 species
GGCCUAGCUGGCCGGUCCGCCUCACCGCGAGUACUGGACUGGCUGGGCCUUCCCUCCUGGGGAACCCCAUGGCCUUCACUGGCUGUGGCGGGGAACCAGGACUUUUACUGUGAAAAAAUUAGAGUGUUUAAAGCAGGCAUCCGCUUGAAUACAUUAGCAUGGAAUAACAGAAUAAGACUU